UAUAACCGCUAGGGGUGCUUGAGGGCUGAGAGGCAAUUGGGUGCCGACCCUGUGGACCUGACCUCGGUAAUGCGAGCGUAGGGAAGCGGCAGUAGCUUGAA
rnacentral:ncRNA from 2 species